UACAGAGGGUGCAAGCGUUGUUCGGAAUUAUUGGGCGUAAAGCGCGUGUAGGCGGCUUUGCAAGUCGGGUGUGAAAGCCCUCAGCUCAACUGAGGAAGUGCGCCCGAAACUGCAGAGCUUGAGUACCGGAGAGGAUGGUGGAAUUCCCCAAGUAGAGGUGAAAUUCGUAGAUAUGGGGAGGAACACCGGUGGCGAAGGCGACCAUCUGGACGGAUACUGACGCUGAGACGCGAAAGCGUGGGUAGCAAACGAGG
rnacentral:rRNA from 1 species